CAGUCGCCACGGUAAUACAGAGGGUGCGAGCGUUAAUCGGAUUUACUGGGCGUAAAGCGUGCGUAGGGGCUUUUUAAGUCGGAUGUGAAAUCCCUGAGCUUAACUUAGGAAUUGCAUUCGAUACUGGGAAGCUAGAGUAUGGGAGAGGAUGGUAGAAUUCCAGGUGUAGCGGUGAAAUGCGUAGAGAUCUGGAGGAAUACCGAUGGCGAAGGCAGACAUCUGGCCUAAUACUGACGCUGAGGUACGAAAGCAUGGGGAGCAAACAGGAUUAGAUACCCCCGUAGUCCCUGUCUCUUAUACA
rnacentral:rRNA from 1 species